rfam:Chryseobacterium taiwanense strain TPW19 Contig_4, whole genome shotgun sequence.
AAUACAAAAGGAAAUGGUGUUCUUCCUUACCCAACCGCUUUACAAAAGCUGAUGACGCCUGAUUAAUA